rnacentral:rRNA from 1 species
CCUACGGGAGGCAGCAGUGGGGAAUAUUGCACAAUGGGCGCAAGCCUGGUGCAGCCAUGCCGCGUGUGUGAAGAAGGCCUUCGGGUUGUAAAGCACUUUCAGCGGGGAGGAAGGCGGUGAGGUUAAUAACCUCAUCGAUUGACGUUACCCGCAGAAGAAGCACCGGCUAACUCCGUGCCAGCAGCCGCGGUAAUACGGAGGGUGCAAGCGUUAAUCGGAAUUACUGGGCGUAAAGCGCACGCAGGCGGUCUGUCAAGUCGGAUGUGAAAUCCCCGGGCUCAACCUGGGAACUGCAUUCGAAACUGGCAGGCUAGAGUCUUGUAGAGGGGGGUAGAAUUCCAGGUGUAGCGGUGAAAUGCGUAGAGAUCUGGAGGAAUACCGGUGGCGAAGGCGGCCCCCUGGACAAAGACUGACGCUCAGGUGCGAAAGCGUGGGGAGCAAACAGGAUUAAAUACCCGAGUAGUC